ensembl:lncRNA
CAUGCACAGAUCAAUUUGAGUAAAUUAUGUUAAAAAAAAAAAAGAGAAAACAGUUUAAUUCAAUAACUAACUUUUGUUUCAUUUGUAGCUUUCCUUUUCUGUCUUGACUGAUUUUAAUUCCCUAGCGAAUAUCAUGGCAACAUGAUAUAUUGGAGGUAACACCAGAUAACAGGAAUUCAUCCAGAUAAGGUGGAAUCAUAACCAGGAGAUGAACUUUGCAGUAGAGAGUCAUUAUUUUCUGAAGCUCCAAUGAAAGACAAAUCUUGGAGAAGAGGCAGCAGAGGGAACUGGACAUUUUGGCUUUUGCAUGGAGGUUUCGUGUGGAUCCUAAAAGAAGAAAAGAAUGGGCUUGCCAGCUUAGACACAACAAUUUUGUGCCAGGAAAACACACUUUUCUUUGUUCAAAGCACUUUGAAGCCUCCUGUUUUGACUCAACAGGACAAACUUGGUGACUUAAAAUGGAUGCAAUUCCAACCAUUUUUGAUUUUUGUACCCAUUGAAAGUCUAUGAAACUCAAAUCAAGGAAUCUUUUGAAGAAAAACAACAGUUGUACUCCAACAGAACCAUGUACUUUAAGAUCAAACCUUAGUAGUUAUCAAGUACUACUUGAACACAGUUAUUGCU